rnacentral:rRNA from 1 species
UACGGGGGGGGCAAGCGUUGUUCGGAAUUACUGGGCGUAAAGCGCACGUAGGCGGCUUUGUAAGUUAGAGGUGAAAGCCCGGGGCUCAACUCCGGAACUGCCUUUAAGACUGCAUCGCUUGAAUCCAGGAGAGGUGAGUGGAAUUCAUGGUGUAGCAGUGAAAUGCGUAGAGAUCAUGAGGAAGACCAGUGGCGAAGGCGGGUCUCUGGACAGUUCCUGACACUGAGGCACGAAGGCCAGGGGAGCAAACGGG